UAAGUCUAUACAUAAUAAUAAUAAUUUCUUUGUUUCAACUGCUCCAUACAAUUUGUCUUAGGGGUUAAAUUUGCAUGCGUUCGCUAAUUACCACGAAGGUAGCGAUAGCAGAGAAAAAGGAGUGGGUGUUCGAAACAAUAACAAUUGUCUGGCGCCGGGACCCUUUCGUUUCCCUAUCAGGUCCUAGUGACAGGAAGAAGGUGUGGUUAGACUACUCAGUAUCCACCGUAUACGGUUUAUGAAAAUCGUACAAGCCCUAUACCGACAGUAAGCGCAUAUUGUUACCUAACAAUAUUAUUAUGUUU